rnacentral:tRNA from 1 species
UGGGGCGUGGCGGCAAUGGCAGUCCCGACGAGCUUUGACCUCGUAGAUCCUGGUUCGAGUCCAGGCGUCCCAGC